UUGUGGACAGAUACAUGGUGAAACAGUUCGCCGUCAAUCAACACUACAAAAUAAGGCAAAGACACUUCUAGAAGCUCAAAGCUAGGUGUGGCAGAGGAUAGAUAGAAUGUUUCAAAGUUCUAGAUGUAUGGUUACAUUUCUCAGCAAUACACCGUUCUGAGGAGUCAAUGGGAGGUAACUUGCGGUUUCGAAAAUCUGACCUUGGUGACUUCUGGUCAGGACGACUCAAAACUCACGAUUCCUUAUGCAUUAGGCCUUUCCACCAUUUCAAUGAAGCGGAUGGAUUGUGAUUUCAAGAUGUCAUCUACAUGGUUAGUAGUUCGUGAUCUGAUUGGGCAAUAUGCCUACGAUUAAAAUAUAUUUGCUAAUGGUUAUAGCUAAUUUUGGCAAUUUCUAUGGUGCAUUUGUAGCAUUUUACGGGGCCCGGCUUUUAGGAAUACCAGGCCUUUAAUAUUCACUGAUUUACAUGUUACUUCUUGUGAUAGCUGUGGAAGCAUUCUCUGUUGUAACAUGAAGUUUGGUUGAUUAUCAGUAACAUAAAAAAUGUAUUGAAAUUUUGCUCAACCAAGCUAUUUAGUUGCUUCUUGUAAUAUAGGCUUUGCAAUUUGGAGUGGACCUGCACAUUAGGUUGCGCUGCAAUCAGUAUUUUUUUUAAUCAAAUACUGAAAAUUUGGACUU